UACGUAGGGUGCGAGCGUUAAUCGGAAUUACUGGGCGUAAAGCGUGCGCAGGCGGUUUUGCAAGUCAGAUGUGAAAUCCCCGGGCUUAACCUGGGAACUGCAUUUGGGACUGCACGGCUAGAGUACGGCAGAGGGGGAUGGAAUUCCGCGUGUAGCAGUGAAAUGCGUAGAUAUGCGGAGGAACACCGAUGGCGAAGGCAGUCCCCUGGGCCUGUACUGACGCUCAUGCACGAAAGCGUGGGGAGCAAACAGG
rnacentral:rRNA from 1 species